rnacentral:rRNA from 1 species
ACGGGAGGCAGCAGUAAGGAAUCUUCCACAAUGGGCGAAAGCCUGAUGGAGCAACGCCGCGUGAGUGAAGAAGGAUUUCGGUUCGUAAAACUCUGUUGUAAGGGAAGAACAAGUACAGUAGUAACUGGCUGUACCUUGACGGUACCUUAUUAGAAAGCCACGGCUAACUACGUGCCAGCAGCCGCGGUAAUACGUAGGUGGCAAGCGUUGUCCGGAAUUAUUGGGCGUAAAGCGCGCGCAGGUGGUUUCUUAAGUCUGAUGUGAAAGCCCACGGCUCAACCGUGGAGGGUCAUUGGAAACUGGGAAACUUGAGUGCAGAAGAGGAUAGUGGAAUUCCAAGUGUAGCGGUGAAAUGCGUAGAGAUUUGGAGGAACACCAGUGGCGAAGGCGACUAUCUGGUCUGUAACUGACACUGAGGCGCGAAAGCGUGGGGAGCAAACAGGAUUAGAUACCCUGGUAGUCCACGCCGUAAACGAUGAGUGCUAAGUGUUAGGGGGUUUCCGCCCCUUAGUGCUGCAGCUAACGCAUUAAGCACUCCGCCUGGGGAGUACGGUCGCAAGACUGAAACUCAAAGGAAUUGAC